rnacentral:tRNA from 1 species
GCCUGGGUGGCUCAGUUGGUUAAGCAUCUGACUUUGGCUCAGAUCGUCAUCUCACGGUUUGUGAGUUCGAGCCCCGCGUCGGGCU